rnacentral:rRNA from 1 species
AGUCUGCAACCCGACUACAUGAAGCUGGAAUCGCUAGUAAUCGCGGAUCAGAAUGCCGCGGUGAAUACGUUCCCGGGUCUUGUACACACCGCCCGUCACACCAUGGGAGUCGGAAAUGCCCGAAGUCUGUGACCCAACCUUAGGGAGGGAGCAGCCGAAGGCAGGUCGGAUGACUGGGGGUGAAGUCGUAACAAGGUAUC